AUCAGAGGCCACACUCAUCGUAGCAGAGAGGCAGGACCAACUGGGAGAGGGUCCUUCUGUGACACCUACUGCAUCACUGGGCUGUGUGAAGUGACUCAGCUGCCAGAACUCACACAACAUCAUUCUACACCAAAACCUCAUGGGAAAAAUGCUCCACGACCCUCAGAAUUAAACAGUAGCACUGGCUCCUGCCCAGAUCUCCAGCUCCCUGACCCUCAAACUCCAACUCCAACACCAGCUCAGCCCCAGGUCUCCAGCUCCACAAUCCUCAAACUACAACAGCAGCACCAGCUCCCCUGUGGAUCUCCAGCUCAACGACUCUCAGACUUGGGAGGCAGCACCAGCCCCCACCAAGCCUCCAGCUCCAUAACCCUCAAGCUAGAACAGCAGCACCGGCUACUCCCUGGGUCUCCAGUUCCCUCAAACUUCAACUAUAGCACUGGCUCUUCCCCAGGGCCACCAGCUCCACAACCCUCAACUUACACGGUGGUAGCACCAGCACCUCCCUAAGUCUCCAGCUACACAACCGUCAAACUUGAACUGCAACCCCAGCUCCUCUUCGGC
rnacentral:lncRNA from 1 species